UGGGAUGAAGCUUUAAGCCAUUUAUUUACAUUAAAUAGUCCUUUGGGGUUAGCCAAAGCAUCCUGA
rnacentral:tRNA from 1 species